rnacentral:rRNA from 1 species
AUGUGGCGGGUCCGCGUCGGCGGCGACCCUGUCGAUAAUCGGCCCCGACUUGGCGGAGGUGACCGGGCCGGAGAAGAGCUGCCGGCUGUUCUGGUCGUCGUGGCAUUGGCUGCUCUGGUGGCGCUCUCGGUCCUUGUGGUCGCAAACAAGGAGGAGGUCGAGCCCGCGCAUGGGGUCGCCGAAGACGAGGCAGAUGCGGUGGUAGACGGCGCAGACGGCGCGCGCGAGCAGGAGCACGGCCUUGUCGUAGGUCCAGCCCCAGAGCGAAGCGUCGCGGAGGCGGCGCGCGUCCUGGCGCCGCCAGCGGGCGCGCUGCAGGAGCGCGCGGCGGGCCUCGUCGGUGGGGAGCUUGCGGGCCGACUCCUCGAGGUCGGCGAGCGCGUCCAGCUCGGCGUAGAGCGCGGCCGUGGCGGCCGCGAGCCGGUCGAGCUGCCGGAGGAGCGCCGCCUCGGAGUGAGACGCGGGGGCGAAGAAGGGGUAGGCCGAGGGAGGGGAGCGGCCGGCGAGGAGGUCGGCGUAGACGUGGUCGAAGCCCUGGAGCGCCGGGGCGGCGCAGCGGCGGCCGAGGCGCGCGGCGACGGCGGCGACGCGGUUGAGCGCGUCGAGCUUCUCGGCGAGCGCGAGGGCGAGGAGGCGCGCGUCGUCGCCCGGGACGAGCGCGCGGACGGCGUGGGAGCCGAGGCAGAGCGGGCCGAGCAGGCGUGCAGCCUCGGCGGCGGAGAGCGAGCGGUGGAGGCUGGCGGCGCGCGACAUGGCGUUGGCCAGCUCGAAGGACAGGAUGCCGACCCUGCCGCUGGCGCCGUCCUUGUCCCCCUUCCUGCCGGCCUUCUUGUUGGAGAGGGUGGCCGUGGCCAUGGCGAGCACCUUGUGCACCAGCGGCUCGGCCACCAUGGCCUCCCUACGUGGACGACCUGGACCAGAGAAAGAAAGAUGGGCUCGCUAGCUAGCAAUGGAGGAGCAUGGUGA